rnacentral:rRNA from 1 species
CACGUAGGGGCCAAGCGUUGUCCGGAUUUAUUGGGCGUAAAGGGCUCGUAGGCGGUUUGUCGCGUCGGGAGUGAAAACCCAGGGCUUAACCCUGGGCCUGCUUCCGAUACGGGCAGACUAGAGGUAUGCAGGGGAGAACGGAAUUCCUGGUGUAGCGGUGAAAUGCGCAGAUAUCAGGAGGAACACCGGUGGCGAAGGCGGUUCUCUGGGCAUUACCUGACGCUGAGGAGCGAAAGUGUGGGGAGCGAACAGG